rnacentral:misc_RNA from 1 species
ACACUGCUCUGUAGUAAAUAAAGUGCGCGAUUUUUACGCCCGCGUUUAAAAACGUAUUCCUAUGCGCCAUUGUAUGUUAUUGAUAUAGAAAUUGGUGUAUUAUCUGGCCACAGCGUGUGGCAAGUGAUUUAUUUUUAUUUUUUUUAAGUGCGUGAAGAGUUUGCUUCUCGUAAGGUGAUUGCCGCUUGGAAUGGAAGUCCAAAGAAUGGCAGCUUUUUAGUGCUUGUUAAUCAACAACAGCGAAUAGUUGUAAUGCUUCUGGCAGGUGCACAGCCAAGAAUCGAGUGAGAAUGGAAGAUGGCCUCAACAGAAAUGGGAAAUCACACCACAAAAUCGUCUUCAAGCCUUGCCAAGCCAAGCUCUUGAAUGUCAAAGAGGAAACGUUACCAAAUGGAGGAUUUCAACGACAAAACUGGAAUGUUUCGAGCAACUGUUUCGAGUGCCAUAUAACGGGGAGACCAGCGGACCACCAUCUCGUCAUGUGUCAUAAUUUGUGUGAAGCACGGCACUGCACAGCACCGAACAGAGGAGGAGCAGAAAUAUCAGAAACUGGUGCCAAAAUCCCACCAAAAUCGAAGCAGAGAAACCAGAGACAAACGGUAUUAACCCGUCAUACAGGUGUCGUUGUAUGUCGUUGUCUGUCGUUUUCUGUGUGUGAAUGUGUAUCCGAUUCUCUCCUCUAAUAACUUUUAUAAUCGAUGAUCUUGUAUGACUUGUUGUUCGCUCGUUCGUUCGGGGCCUCGCCGUCGUGUAGGCCAAAAGAAUCUUGUUUUUUCAGUUAUGCAUUCAACACAAAGGCCAACGAAAACCGCAACGCGAGAGACGAUGAGGAGAGAGAAGACGCGCCAGUCAGAUAUUUAUCAAUAUAUAGAUUUUGUAGAAACUCGCUGCCAAUACUGGAAUUUUCUUGGGCGUUCUUAAAGGAAACCUGUAUACCCAUAAGUCCCGGUGUGGAGCCCAAAAGAGGUCCGAUACAUAUGGUAACUAUUGGAUGCCCGGCCCCCACCGUGUGUGAUGAAAGACUCGUGUCGGCCGUUUGCCGUUUUGAAGAUGAUAUUUGCAUAAAACAAUCCGUUUGCUGAUCAGCCAAGCAGCAAAUAAACAAUUUGCAAAACAGA